rnacentral:sRNA from 1 species
CUCUGUGGUUCCUACUAUGGCCCGCGCGCCAGGGACCACAGGCUUCUUCAUUCCAUCCCCACGCUUGAGGCCCUGGUUCCGGACUAGGCCCCGACCUCCCGGCUUCUAGACUGCCGGUUCUCAUUCUCCCCGAUUUGGAGGAGAAGAGGCCCGGCCUUUGGCGGGCAAGUGGGCGACACCGGCAGGAGUCGCGGCCCGAGGUGUUAUGAACAUAAACAGUAUAGAAAUGGAUUGAAAUUCUGUAAACAAAUACUUUCUAAUCCCAAAUUUGCAGAGCAUGGAGAAACCCUGGCUAUGAAAGGAUUAACAUUGAACUGUUUGGGGAAAAAGGAAGAAGCUUAUGAAUUGGUUCGUAGAGGUUUGAGAAAUGACUUGAAGAGUCAUGUGUGUUGGCACGUUUAUGGCCUUCUUCAGAGGUCAGACAAGAAGUAUGAUGAAGCCAUUAAGUGUUACAGAAAUGCACUAAAAUGGGAUAAAGACAAUCUUCAAAUCUUAAGGGACCUUUCCUUACUACAGAUUCAAAUGCGAGAUCUUGAGGGUUACAGGGUAA